rnacentral:lncRNA from 1 species
GGCUGGUGUUGGGGCCCAUCGUCUUUAAUAUGUUUAUUGAUGAUUUGAAUGAGGGAAUUGAGUGCACCCUCAGUAAGUUUGCAGACAACACCAAGUUGGGGGCAAGUGUCAAUCUGCUGGAGGGUAGGAAGGCCCUGCAGAAGGACCUGGACAGGUUAGAUCGAUGUGCUGAGGCUAGUGGGAUGAUGUUCAACAUGGCUAAGUGUCAGGUCCUGUACUUUGGUCACAACAACCCCAUGCAGCGCUACAGGUAUAGGGCAGAGUGGCUGGAAAGCUGUGCAGAGGAAAAGGGUCAGGGGGUGCUGAUCGAUGUUCCCCUGAACAUGAGCCAGCAGUGUGCCCAGGUGGCCAUGAAAGCCAAUGGCAUCCUGGCUUCUAUCAGGAAUAGUGUAGCCAGCAGGACCAGGAAGGUUAUCACCCCCCUGUACUCAGCUCUGGUGAGGCCAUGCCUCAAGUACUGUGCUCAGUUUUGGGCCUCUCAAUACAAGGAAAACAUCAAGGUCCUGGACCAUGCCCAGAGCAGGGCUACGAAGCUGGUGAAGGGCCUGGAAUACAAGUCCUGUGAGGAACGGCUGAGGGAACUGGGGUUGUUUAGUCUGGAGAAGAGAAGGCCCAGGGGAGACAUUAUUGCUCUCUACAACUCCCUGAAAGAAAGGUGUGGGGAGCUGGGGGUCAGCCUCUUCUCACAGAUAACUAGUGAUGGGACAGGAGGAAAUACCAUCAAGUUGUGCCAGGGGAUGUUCACCUUGGAAAUUAGGAGACAUUUCUUCUCAGAAAGAGUAGUCAGGCAUUGGAACUUGUUGCUCAAGGAAGUGGUGGCAUCACCGUCCCUGGGGGUGUUCAAGGAAAGGUUGGAUGUGGCGCUUAGGGACAUGGUUUAGUGGGUGACAUUGGUAGUAGGCUGAUGGUUGUACCAGAUCAUCUUGAAGGUCUUUUCCAGCCUUAAUGAUUCUAUGAUUCAUAUAUGAAAAAUCAAAUGUCAUUUAAGACUAUUAUUUCCUCGUGUCAAAUGUUAAUGAUUCAUUCUGUCAUGAUUUAUGGGUUGAUGUUAUCUUUUGGAUGGUAAUACGUAAUGGACUAAAUGGACCUGGACUAAAGGACCUAGACUAAAACCAGGUACAGACUGUAAAACAAGGUUCAAGUUCAGUAGAUUCUAAUAGUGCAUUAGCUGUUUUUGAGGCUUCUUCCUAUUCCUGGAUGAAUAGCAGAUGAAUACCUCUGCUUCAUGCUUCCCUACUAUGGCAUCAG